UACGUAGGGUGCGAGCGUUGUCCGGAAUUAUUGGGCGUAAAGGGCUCGUAGGCGGUUUGUCGCGUCGGGAGUGAAAACGCCGUGCUUAACACGGCGCUUGCUUUCGAUACGGGCAGACUAGAGGUAUUCAGGGGAGAACGGAAUUCCUGGUGUAGCGGUGAAAUGCGCAGAUAUCAGGAGGAACACCGGUGGCGAAGGCGGUUCUCUGGGAAUGACCUGACGCUGAGGAGCGAAAGUGUGGGGAGCGAACAGGAUUAGAAACCCGAGUAGU
rnacentral:rRNA from 1 species